rnacentral:lncRNA from 1 species
UUCAUCUUCUCCUCGCAGAUAAACAUAUUCCCCAAAAAACAGUCCUACCUAUAGACAUGAAAAGCCACUAACCCAUUUGGAAGUGUACCUUAAUAGUUUUACAUUCAGUGGAGGUGGCAGAAGGUGGCAUGUUGAUCUUUGUCUAACAAGCUCACCUCCUCCCUGCAAUGACAUGGCCUAGGUUCAGAGAAGUGAAGAAACUGGGUGUGCAAAGUUAAAAGAUCCACAAAAGGCAUGACCUCUGAACAGGUGAACAUACCAAGAAAGACCUUAGUGGGCGGAGGUCAGGAAGAAGGGGUGUAAUUCUUGCAUGGAGGGUCAGAACAGAAGUAAAGCUUUCUGCAGUCUACUCUCCUUUUGUAGUCAGAUAAAUUCAGGCUAGAUUCCUAAUUUUCCACUUAUUAGUUGAGUGACUUUGGGCAAAUUAACUCACCUCCCUAACCUUCAGUUUUAUCUGUAAACCUUAUGAUAGCAGUUUGCUCCCGUGAGGCUACAUAAGGCACCUAAUACACUUAGCAGAGCGCUUAGUACCUGGCAAACGCUCACUAAUUGUAAGAUAUGAUUGCUGUUAAUAGCGUUCGCUGCUAGUGGCUGGCUCAUAAGCGUUUUUUAAAAAUCACCACUUCAAUCCCCUUAGAACGUGCUUCCUUAGGUUAACGGCCCUUAUUCUUCUGUGUCCCACGUCUCAACAGAGCCCCUUCCUCCUCCACCCAGGGGAGGCCCAACUGCACCAGGCCAUUCCACUGCUUCAGGACGCAACUGUGCAGAGCAUCAAGACAAAAAUCUCAGUCUUCGAGGAACUCACAGUGUAGCAGAAAAGACAAAGGAGGUAAACAGGAGGAGCAUGAAUAAUUCAUCUUGAUGUAAUCAUGCAAGACUCCUAAGAAGAUGUUAGGAGACCCUGUCAUCAUUCUUUUGGCCUCUAGUGUCCUUUAUCUUCAUGUUUGCUGGCUUCCUUUUACUACUAUGGAAAUACAACAUAUGCAAAAGUAGUGUUUUCACUGUUUAAAAACAUCGUCAGCAGCAUCAUCAUCAUUAACUGCACCAGGAAGCCAUGACUCCUUUCUGGACAAGGUGCACUUGCCUGUCAUCCUUCCAUCUCUUUCUUCCUCCUUGAAGUUCACAAUACCCAGUCCAGGAGCAUUGCAGAGAAUGCUAGGUGUGUCUGCAGACUUGACUUUAAAAGAAAACAAGUUCCUUCAAGUGAGUUCAUCAUGAUGGGAAUGAUAAUUUGUUUGAGAGAAUGUGUGUUCUUUGGCAAAGGAACUCCUGUUAUACCAUGACAGUAAUAAUAGCAGUAAUAAAAUCACCAAUAAUAAAUUUACUUUUGAAUUUA